UCUGACCGGUCGCGGGGUUGAAUGAUUGUGUAACACAACGUCAUGCAUGUUCAAGCUAUAACAUUUUGCGAAGGUACAAGAUCGUGGAACUCUAGUUAUAAUAUUAUGGUAAAUAUUAUAGGUUAAGUCAGGUGAACCGAAUCUUCACCCUAUUGGCCAACUCAACAAAUACCUACGCCUAUAUAUAUAGCUAGAACAGUUGGCGCUGCACACUGGCAAGGUUAGAGGUGGCUAGAGAGCUCAAGUCGUAAGACCAGGGAAUAGGGCACACUUACAGACUCUCUAAUCUCUACUGCAGCUGUCGGUAUCUGAAACUCGUGUAGGGAAAAGAUGAGGGGAACUCCGACACUUUUGCUUCUGUUGGUCGCCUUGUUGGCCUUCAUGUUUUACCACGCUGAUGCCCAGCCGGGCACUGGUUGGGGGUGCCCUCCACUUUGCCGCAGGGUGGAAGGUGACGACGAGACUCACGCCGCAGCAGAGCGCGAGGCCCGAGACCUGGCAGCAGUUGUUCCCCAGGUGAAUGAUGAGGCGGAGGAGUGGGCUGAAGAGGAUGGGCUCCUCGCCAGGCUUGGAGCAAAGCCCUGAUCCACGUGCCGACUUGGGUGCCAAAACAGUGAUUGCUGUGUGAGGGGCCUUGUUUGCUGUGACGACUGAAGGAUGGUCAGACAUCAUCCAGUGCUACACUUGCUUCAUACGCUCAACGGCUCACUACCGUCAGAGGCCCACAUUGUGCUUUCACCUUCACCUUGUGCUUUAAGCCGCAUGUAUUCCUCUUAAAUCAGCUUCAGGUAUAGCAGAAACUUCUGUAGAGUGUACGAAAUGUGUUCAUUAUCAGAAGCCGCAGUUUCAUAUCAAGCACUUUAACAGAUAAGGAACUGCCGACACCAUCCUUUUUAUUGUAAUGCAGAGACAAUUAAUGAUAAACUAUUCAUUCAUUUAACUACAAAGUUACUCUGUAUAUGUCGGUGUGGCCUUAUGUUGACAAGUUCUAAUUAUAUUAAUUAGUUUGCCAACUGCAUGCCAUAUGUACAGAGAGCACGUGAUAUAUACAUGUAUGUCCGACUCAGCAUUUGGCGAAGCUUGAGACGCUGGGAAAGUCAAUAUACCCUAUCAAUAAAUACUUUAACCCGU